CCAGGCCACAAAGCUGAAUUCGUCUUCAACUGGUAUCCUGAACAUGACAGUGAUGAGUUCACUGGUCCCCACUGGCAGCUACUGGUCUCCACAGUCACCAGAACAGUGUUGAAUCUGUGCCACAAUAAUUUUAGGUAGCUCUGAAGGCUGAAGGGAGUUUGACCAGUGAUAGUGGAGAGUCGGUGUCGGUGUCUUCUGUGGCUGAGAUUUUACUCAGCAGUGACUCAUGAGGUUGCUUCAGGUGAAAACGCCCAGCUACUCUGACUGGCCCAAGAAGACAUGAGCUUCUCCACUUCAUUAAGAUCAGUCGUUGUCAGGUCAUUACAAAUGAGGACUGUGUCUCUACCUGCCAGCUUCUCAGCACCUGUGUCAACGCCGGUUCUCACAGUGACUCAGUUACAGCUUUGGUAUGAUACAGAGAACAUUGUCUGCAGACUCUGAGGAAGCCAGAAAAAGUCUCCUCUGCCUCAACAACACCCAGUCGACACAACUGCACCUCCCUUCAUUUGUGUGUUUCUGUUUACCUCUGAGCCACUAGCAGGAGGUCUUUUGUUCUUCACGGGGAUCCAGAGGAGUCCUGCUUCUCAUAAUUCUAGUCAAGGGCGUCCAGAGAGUCUCAAGCUGAACAUUUUGGUUUGUAAAUUAUGAAAGGUUUCAACUCCCCAAACCACAAACAACAAUAUUUCACUUUGUUUAAAGAGAGUGGCCUAAACAAAGGAAACUAAAACAGUGAAAGGAAUGGUUUGGAAUAAUAAGAUAUGCUGAGACGUGUGUAUCUUCCUGAAAUGAUGCCGUUUUCAAUUCGAUUUACACAACACAAAAGAACGCAGCAGCCUGAGAGUAUAUCGUUUUCACUUCUUAUGUUAUUAUAGCAUUAAUCAAAGAAUCAGCCAAACAGAAAGAAGGACAAUGACCCAACAUGCAACCAGAGCUGCUACAAUGGUCCAGUCAAAGUCCAGUCCCAAAUACAAUUGAGAAUCUGUGGCCAGGUUGUUCAUAAGUGCAAUCAAUUCAAUCUGAUUCAGCUAAAUCCUUUUUGCA